rnacentral:rRNA from 1 species
GACGAACGCUGGCGGCGUGCCUAACACAUGCAAGUCGAACGGAAAGGCCCUGCUUUUGUGGGGCGGUCGAGUGGCGAAGGGGUGAGUAACACGUGAGUAACAUGCCCCUGACUUUGGGAUAUCUUCAGGAAACUGGGGCUAUUACCGGAUAGGAGCUCUUGCUGCAUGGUGGGGGCUGGUAAGUUUCGGCGGUUGGGGAUGGACUCGCGGCUUAUGAGCUUGUUGGGGGGGUAGUGGCUUACCAAGGUUUUGACGGGUAGGCGGCCUGGGAGGGUGACCAGCCACAUUGGGACUGAGAUAGGGACCAGACUCCUACGGGAGGCAGCAGUGGGGAAUAUUGCACAAUGGGCGGAAGCCUGAUGCAGCAACGCCGCGUGCGGGAUGACGGCCUUCGGGUUGUAAACCGAUUUCGCCUGUGACGAGGCGUGAGUGACGGUAAUGGGUAAAGAAGCACCGGCUAACUACGUG